ACUGGAGACCUGUCCAGGAUGUUCCUGUGAUGGACUGGAGACCUGUCCAGGGUGUCCCCCGCCUCUCAGUAGUUUUAACACCCAGAGAAAUCAUUAAGACACAGGAUACCAACAGUUUGUAAAACAGGUAAGUGCUUUUUUUCAAUAAUGGGGGGACACAGGAACACAAGAAGGAGCUGCAGGAGAUUGAAGAAUUUGAGGAUACCGGAGGAUUCCAGGAUGAUGUAGAAUGACCGGUGAACAGAUGACUGCUCCAGAGGAGCGUUCAUGGAGGACUCAAUCACCGUUACCAGGGAUAGAUUCAAGACUGGUCAAGGAGACGAGGAAUAACUUGAAAAAGGAGCUACAGGGAGUG